rnacentral:rRNA from 1 species
UACGUAGGUGACAAGCGUUGUCCGGAUUUACUGGGCGUAAAGAGCGCGCAGGCGGUCGAUCAAGUCGAGUGUGAAAGCCCCCGGCUCAACUGGGGAGGGUCAUUCGAUACUGAUCGACUCGAAGGCAGGAGAGGGUAGCGGAAUUCCCGGUGUAGUGGUGAAAUGCGUAGAUAUCGGGAGGAACACCAGUGGCGAAGGCGGCUUCCUGGCCUGUUCUUGACGCUGAGGCGCGAAAGCUAGGGUAGCAAACAGG